ACGGAAGGCAGCAGUGGGGAAUAUUGCACAAUGGGGGAAACCCUGAUGCAGCGACGCCGCGUGAGUGAAGAAGUAUCUCGGUAUGUAAAGCUCUAUCAGCAGGGAAGAAAAUGACGGUACCUGACUAAGAAGCCCCGGCUAACUACGUGCCAGCAGCCGCGGUAAUACGUAGGGGGCAAGCGUUAUCCGGAAUUACUGGGUGUAAAGGGUGCGUAGGUGGUAUGGCAAGUCAGAAGUGAAAACCCAGGGCUCAACUCUGGGACUGCUUUUGAAACUGUCAGACUGGAGUGCAGGAGAGGUAAGCGGAAUUCCUAGUGUAGCGGUGAAAUGCGUAGAUAUUAGGAGGAACAUCAGUGGCGAAGGCGGCUUACUGGACUGAAACUGACACUGAGGCACGAAAGCGUGGGGAGCAAACAGGAUUAGAUACCCUGGUA
rnacentral:rRNA from 1 species